AGAGUUUGAUCCUGGCUCAGAACGUACGCUGGCGGCACGCCUAACACAUGCAAGUCGAACGAAGUAGCAAUACUUAGUGGCAGACGGGUGAGUAACAUGUAGGUAUCUGCCCUUUGGCCUGGAAUAACACGAGGAAACUUGUGCUAAUACCGGAUAAGUCUUUACGGAGAAAGCUUUAUGCACCAUUGGAUGAGCCUGCACUUGAUUAGUUUGUUGGUGGGGUAAUGGCCUACCAAGACUGUGAUCAAUAGCUGAUUUGAGAGGAUGAUCAGCCACAUUGGGACUGAGACACGGCCCAAACUCCUACGGGAGGCAGCAGUGGGGAAUCUUGCACAAUGGAGGAAACUCUGAUGCAGCGAUGCCGCGUGAGUGAAGAAGGCCCUUGGGUUGUAAAGCUCUUUCGUCGGGGAAGAAAAUGACUGUACCCGAAUAAGAAGGUCCGGCUAACUUCGUGCCAGCAGCCGCGGUAAUACGAAGGGACCUAGCGUAGUUCGGAAUUACUGGGCUUAAAGAGUUCGUAGGUGGUUGAAAAAGUUAGUGGUGAAAUCCCAGAGCUUAACUCUGGAACUGCCAUUAAAACUUUUCAGCUAGAGUAUGAUAGAGGAAAGCAGAAUUUCUAGUGUAGAGGUGAAAUUCGUAGAUAUUAGAAAGAAUACCAAUUGCGAAGGCAGCUUUCUGGAUCAUUACUGACACUGAGGAACGAAAGCAUGGGUAGCGAAGAGGAUUAGAUACCCUCGUAGUCCAUGCCGUAAACGAUGUGUGUUAGACGUUGGAAAUUUAUUUUCAGUGUCGCAGGGAAACCGAUAAACACACCGCCUGGGGAGUACGACCGCAAGGUUAAAACUCAAAUGAAUUGACGGGGACCCGCACAAGUAGUGGAGCAUGUGGUUUAAUUCGAAGAUACGCGCAGAACCUUACCAACACUUGACAUGUUCGUCGCGACUCUAAGAGAUUAGAGUUUUCGGUUCGGCCGGACGAAACACAGGUGCUGCAUGGCUGUCGUCAGCUCGUGUCGUGAGAUGUUGGGUUAAGUCCCGCAACGAGCGCAACCCUCACUUUUAGUUGCCA
rnacentral:rRNA from 1 species